GACGAACGCUGGCGGCGUGCCUAAUACAUGCAAGUCGAACGCAUUUUCUUUCACCGUAGCUUGCUACACCGAAAGAAAAUGAGUGGCGAACGGGUGAGUAACACGUGGGUAACCUGCCCAUCAGCGGGGGAUAACACUUGGAAACAGGUGCUAAUACCGCAUAAUUCCAUUUACCGCAUGGUAGAUGGAUGAAAGGCGCUUUUGCGUCACUGAUGGAUGGACCCGCGGUGCAUUAGCUAGUUGGUGGGGUAACGGCCUACCAAGGCUGCGAUGCAUAGCCGACCUGAGAGGGUGAUCGGCCAAACUGGGACUGAGACACGGCCCAGACUCCUACGGGAGGCAGCAGUAGGGAAUCUUCGGCAAUGGACGCAAGUCUGACCGAGCAACGCCGCGUGAGUGAAGAAGGUUUUCGGAUCGUAAAACUCUGUUGUUAGAGAAGAACAAGGAUGAGAGUGGAAAGUUCAUCCCUUGACGGUAUCUAACCAGAAAGCCACGGCUAACUACGUG
rnacentral:rRNA from 1 species